rnacentral:tRNA from 1 species
GUUCCCGUAGCUUAAUGGAUAGAGCGCCUGGCUACGGACCAGGAGGUUGGCGGUUCGAGUCCGUCCGGGAACGCCA